rnacentral:antisense_RNA from 1 species
AUUAAGAAGGAAGAUAGGGGGAAUGCAUGGAUAUGACCAAACUCACGCUUAUUUCUUGGGAUUGUGAGUUUGCUGCCCUCUAACAGUGCUGGGAACAUAAUCCUUCAUGAGGAGCAGAAACAUCUUGCAGUUUAUGUCCAUUUUUAUCCAUUGAUCUCCUGCUGUCGAUGUCUGACUUUUCGCUUUGUCUGUUGUAUCAGUGGGAGCUGAUGUCAACUCUUCAGAAUGUCAAGGUUCUGCAAUUCUCAUAGAUUCCCAGGAGCUCGAAGUCCCCACAUCUUCCAGGGAUGAGCGGCACUCCAGACUCCCAGGCCAUCCAGGAUAGCUAGGGCCACCUGGGACUCCAGGAGACAUUGAGAAGUCCUUCCCCACUCAAGUCUGCCUUUGCAGUGAAGCUGAGGGAUCCCAUCCCAGGCCCCUCCAAGCCCAUUGUCUUCAAGGAAGUGUUGAGUAAUCAUCAGGGCCACUUCAAUCUUACCAAGGGGAUGUUCACCUGCAUGUACCACCUCAAUCUUACCACAGGAAUGUUCACCUGGC